CCUCACGCCAGGAUCCCACCCUGAGGUACUGCCUCUGGGAUGAGACCAAGACAUCAAUUUGCUUUAAAAGACCCCCAGGUGGUUCCAGUGCACAGCAGGUUUGAGUGGCUCUCAGAUUGUCUCUGAGGUUUCUUCCCACCUCUUGUGAGUCUGUGAGUCCUGUCUAUAAGGAAUGGGCCUGUAGAUGCUUUGCCCCUACCCGGGGCUUUAUUCAUGUUUCAGGAUUCAUACAACACUUUUCAUUGAACCCGACCUUUUUCCGUCUGCCGAGAGACUGCAUUCUUGAAUCCUCCUUUAAUAAGCACUUCUGAGGACGCUAACCCCUCUCUGUGGUAACUGUACCCAUGGGGUGGUGUAUUUUAUUCCCUUCCUCUGCCUAGGAAAAGGAGUUAAAAUGUCAUGAAAGAAGCCCCGGGCAUAAAGGCAGGCACAGCCAUCAGUGUGACAGGCUCCUGACUUCUCAGUGAGGAGCCGUGCCCAGCACAAAGUGUCGUGCAGUGCUCAGACCCCGGGAUAAGGAGGAAAGACCUGCACAGCUCACUCUUCAGGUAAAGCUCUCCAAUGUCCCAGAGAACUGACAGAAAAGUCGGCACAUUGCAAAUGCUGCCAAGAGAGCUAAGCAGCAAGUUCCAGGCAAGAUCCGGAUGCUGGGGAAAGCCUGGAUGUUUCUGACCGUUUCACCUACCAUCUAUCUAAGGCGAUGGAAAUCCCAGGAAAGAAAGCAGCACUUUCACUUUGGGCAAGAUGCUCAGUUUCUUCAUCUAUGAGUGAGUCCUACUGAUUCAUGCUGACUCUAGGUGGCAUGUUGGACAUCAAUCAUGUGUAUAUAUCCACACGAAACAGACACAGAGCCCAAAGAAGACGGGGAGCAGAUGUGAAAUGCUCUGAACUGGUUACAGGUGAGCCGGGGAGGAGGAGCUCUGUUUUGUUGGCUGACUGCCUGCUGUUCCAGUAACUGUGUUAGAGGCGUGGCUGCAACAGCCUAGGACCAAGACUUGAAGAUUGGGUUCUGGCCUUGACCUAUGGUGAGGGUCACAAUAGACUUUAUCAUUCAAACCAGGACACUUUUGAGAACCCAAGGAGGCCCUUUAGUAGUUCCUAUGGGACAACAUGUGGAAACGGGACUGUCUUGGGCAAAGUGGUACAUACAGUCCCCCCACGUCGAUCUUGGGUAAGUCACUGAAGCUCUGUGAGCUUCAGUUUCAUCAGUUCUUAAAACAACAAAAAAUACCUGUCCUAUCUCACAGGGUGUGAGGCUCAAAUGAGAUAAUAAAUUUGGAAAGUGUUGUGAAAAUAAGGAAUCA
rnacentral:lncRNA from 1 species